CCUACGGGAGGCAGCAGUGGGGAAUUUUGGACAAUGGGGGCAACCCUGAUCCAGCCAUGCCGCGUGCGGGAAGAAGGCCUUCGGGUUGUAAACCGCUUUUGUCAGGGAAGAAAUCUUCCGGGCCAAUACCCCGGAAGGAUGACGGUACCUGAAGAAUAAGCACCGGCUAACUACGUGCCAGCAGCCGCGGUAAU
rnacentral:rRNA from 1 species